CAUAUCUGGGCGUGGAACGAUCGAACAGAGAGGAGAAAGAAAGGGGUGAAACCCUAAUUCAUGAGCAGACCUUCAAAUUGAAAAGGGAAUUGAAGCCUAGUUGAAUGCAUGAACUAAGAAUGAUGAUCCUCUAAGCAUACCCAACAUCAAGAACGUGUCAAGGAGAGCUCAAGCAUAGGAGGAUAACGGGUCAAGAUAAGGCAAGGUGACAAAUACACUUAUUGGAGUACUCAAGGGUAAGCGCAAUUGUUGGAAGAGAUGAUCCGUGAAUGCGGUCUAGGACCGGCAUCGAGGCAAGUAAUGAAACGAAUUGACCCCAGGUAUGUAAACCUAAUGUAUGGGCGUAUGAAAUGGUAUGGCUAAGUAAGUGAAAGAAAAAUUUUGAACAAAUUAUGAUAACGACAUGGUAAAUAAGUUUUGAAAAUGUUACACGAGCCGAAACUAAAUUCUUCGGACAUAAGGUGGCGAUUACGCGAAGACACGAAACUAGUACGUGGAAUGUGUACCUGGCCAGUACACAAGAAACGUAUGACGUUCGUGAGACCGUGAUAAUUAUUACAGGUAUGUCCGAUAGAGUUUGGUAGCAGCUAGGCGUGUGGGUGAAAUGGGUAGUAAGACUCUCGGGGGAUUGAGAGUACUUUGUAGGAAUGAAAGAUGUGAAUGCAAUGCUUGAAUCCGCGAGACAGAUUCACGAAAUGAAAUAUGCGAAUGUAAUGCUUGAAUCCGCGAGACGGAUUCAAGGAAUGAAAUAUGCGAAUGCAAUGCUUGAAUCCGCGAGACAGAUUCAAGGAAUGAAAUAUGCGAAUGCAAUGCUUGAAUCCACGAGACGGAUUCAAGGA